rnacentral:tRNA from 1 species
AUGGUCGGGAAUAGCU